UUGGUUAAGUUAGAAAGGGCGCACGGUGGAUGCCUUGGCACUAGGAGCCGAAGAAGGACGGGACUAACACCGAUAUGCUUUGGGGAGCUGUACGUAAGCGUUGAUCCAGAGAUUUCCGAAUGGGGGAACCCACUAUCUUUAGUCGGAUAGUAUCCUUACGUGAAUACAUAGCGUGAGGAAGGCAGACCCAGGGAACUGAAACAUCUAAGUACCUGGAGGAAGAGAAAGAAAAAUCGAUUUCCUGAGUAGCGGCGAGCGAAACGGAAAGAGCCCAAACCAAGAAGCUUGCUUCUUGGGGUUGUAGGACACUCUAUACGGAGUUACAAAAGAAAGUUAUAAAUGAAGCGGUCUGGAAAGGCCCGCCAAAGACGGUAACAGCCCGGUAGUUGAAAUAGCUUUCCCUCCAGAGUGGAUCCUGAGUACGGCGGAACACGUGAAAUUCCGUCGGAAUCUGGGAGGACCAUCUCCCAAGGCUAAAUACUCCCUAGUGACCGAUAGUGAACCAGUACCGUGAGGGAAAGGUGAAAAGCACCCCGGAAGGGGAGUGAAACAGUUCCUGAAACCGUGUGCCUACAAGUAGUUAGAGCCCGUUAAUGGGUGAUAGCGUGCCUUUUGUAGAAUGAACCGGCGAGUUACGAUUUGUUGCAAGGUUAAGCGGAAAAAGCGGAGCCGUAGCGAAAGCGAGUCUGAAUAGGGCGCAUAAGUAACAGGUCGUAGACCCGAAACCAGGUGAUCUACCCAUGUCCAGGAUGAAGGUAAGGUAAUACUUACUGGAGGUCCGAACCCACGCACGUUGAAAAGUGCGGGGAUGAGGUGUGGGUAGCGGAGAAAUUCCAAUCGAACUUGGAGAUAGCUGGUUCUCUCCGAAAUAGCUUUAGGGCUAGCCUCGAGGUAAAGAGUCAUGGAGGUAGAGCACUGUUUGGACUAGGGGCCCUUCUCGGGUUACCGAAUUCAGAUAAACUCCGAAUGCCAUGUACUUAUACUCGGGAGUCAGACUGCGAGUGAUAAGAUCCGUAGUCGAAAGGGAAACAGCCCAGACCACCAGUUAAGGUCCCCAAAUAUAUGUUAAGUGGAAAAGGAUGUGGGGUUGCUUAGACAACCAGGAUGUUGGCUUAGAAGCAGCCACCAUUGAAAGAGUGCGUAAUAGCUCACUGGUCGAGUGACCCCGCGCCGAAAAUGUACCGGGGCUAAACAUAUUACCGAAACUGUGGAUGAACCUCUUUAGAGGUUCGUGGUAGGAGAGCGUUCUAAGGGCGGUGAAGUCAGACCGGAAGGACUGGUGGAGCGCUUAGAAGUGAGAAUGCCGGUAUGAGUAGCGAAAGAAGGGUGAGAAUCCCUUCCACCGAAUAUCUAAGGUUUCCUGAGGAAGGCUCGUCCGCUCAG
rnacentral:rRNA from 1 species